AGGACGAACGCUGGCGGCGUGCCUAACACAUGCAAGUCGAGCGGAAAGGCCCUUCGGGGUACUCGAGCGGCGAACGGGUGAGUAACACGUGAGUAACCUGCCCCUAGCUCUGGGAUAGCUCCGGGAAACCGGGAUUAAAUACCAGAUACGACCACUUUAGACAUCUGUCGUGGUGGAAAGGAUUCCGGCUAGGGAUGGGCUCGCGGCCUAUCAGCUUGUUGGUGGGGUAACGCCUACCAAGGCGACGACGGUA
rnacentral:rRNA from 1 species